UCCUUAGAUGUUCUGGGCCGCACGCGUGCUACACUGAGUAAAUCAAUGGGUAAGGGAACACGAAAGUGCAACCUAAUCUUGAAAUUUGCUCGUGAUGGGGAUCGACGGUUGCAAUUUUCCGUCGUGAACGAGGAAUACCUUGUAGGCGCGUGUCAUCAUCACGCGCCGAAUACGUCCCUGCCCUUUGUACACACCGCCCGUCGCUCCUACCGAUUGAGUGAUCCGGUGAGGCUCUGGGACCUGGACGGAAAGAGCGUUUCGCUUGUUCUGUUUGGGAAACUUGGUCGAACCUUAUCAUUUAGAGGAAGGAGAAGUCGUAACA
rnacentral:rRNA from 1 species